GACGAACGCUGGCGGCGUGCCUGACACAUGCAAGUCGAACGGAGAAGUUCAGCAAUGGAUUUCUUAGUGGCGAACGUGUGAGUAACGCGUAGACAACCUGCCUCUAAGCUGGGGACAACAACUCGAAAGGGUUGCUAAUACCGAAUGUGAACAGUGCCUCGCAUGAGAUGCUGUUUGAAGGUGGCCUCUGAAUAUGCUACCGCUUAGAGAUGGGUCUGCGUCUGAUUAGCUAGUUGGAGGGGUAAUGGCCCACCAAGGCGACGAUCAGUAGCCGGUCUGAGAGGAUGAACGGCCACACUGGGACUGAGACACGGCCCAGACUCCUACGGGAGGCAGCAGUGGGGAAUCUUCCGCAAUGGACGAAAGUCUGACGGAGCAACGCCGCGUGAGUGAAGAAGGCCCUCGGGUCGUAAAGCUCUGUCUUCAGGGUCGAAUGUGCAGAUUGUGAAUAAUGGUUUGUAAUGACGGUACCUGAGGAGGAAGCCACGGCUAACUACGUGCCAGCAGCCGCCGUAA
rnacentral:rRNA from 1 species